ACUACAUGAAGCUGGAAUCGCUAGUAAUCGCGGAUCAGAAUGCCGCGGUGAAUACGUUCCCGGGUCUUGUACACACCGCCCGUCACACCAUGGGAGUCGGAAAUGCCCGAAGUCAGUGACCCAACCACAACGUGAACUUUGUUCACGUGGAGGGAGCUGCCGAAGGUGGAGCCGGUAACUGGGGUGAAGUCGUAACAAGGUAUC
rnacentral:rRNA from 1 species